rnacentral:rRNA from 1 species
CCUACGGGAGGCAGCAGUGGGGAAUAUUGCGCAAUGGGCGAAAGGCUGACGCAGCGACGCCGCGUGAGGGAUGAAGGUCUUCGGAUGGUAAACCUCUGUCAGGAGGGAAGAAGAGGGUAGAUGCGAAUAGUGUAUGACUUUGACGGUACCUCCAAAGGAAGCACCGGCGAACUCCGUGCCAGCAGCAGCGGUAAUACGGAGGGUGCGAGCGUUAAUCGGAAUCACUGGGCGUAAAGCGCGCGUAGGCGGCUUUUUAAGUCAGGGGUGAAAGCCCACGGCCCAACCGUGGAACUGCCUUUGAUACUGGAGAGCUUGAGUGUCGGAGAGGGUGGCGGAAUGUCAGGUGUAGGAGUGAAAUCCGUAGAUAUCUGGAGGAACACCGGUUGCGAAGGCGGCCACCUGGACGACAACUGACGCUGAGGUGCGAAAGCGUGGGUAGCAAACAGGAUUAGAUACCCUAGUAGUC